rnacentral:lncRNA from 7 species
GGCUCUCAAGUGGAUCAUUGUAAAUGAGUAUGGACUUUAAAAGAAGAGAUGCAUGUGGGUGUAAUUGUUUCUCAGAAGCUGAGAGCGUGCUGUAUCUUCAGUUUUAAUGAAGAUUAGGUGUGACAAAGCUAUAUGGAGUAAUGGAAGUACCAGGAAGAAAUUGCUUUUUGAAAAUGAAAAGCUUUUUAAAAAGUCACAAUAGGACUGAGAGAGCCGUGAGUGCAUUUUCUACCCUAACAUUUUGGCAUUACUCUAUGGAGCCUUCUGCUAUCAGCAAGGAAAGAAAAAUUGCAGUUGACAUCUACACCUGGCAUUUGUCUCCAUUAAUGCUUAGUGCAGGGACUGUGUUCACUUGGCUUCAUCUCUACCUGUCAGAUACUUUGCUUUCUAGGAGGAAAGAGAACAGGGAGAAACCAAGCAGAUUUCCUAAUGUGAAUCAGUUUUCUUAUAGAAGCUGUAGCCAAGGGUCGAAUCUGCAUCCCUGGGGAAGAAACCACAACAUUAUGGCCUUGUUCGUCACAUCUUGUUCAAGUCUGCUCUUCUAUCCACUCAUCUGUCUCCUGCACAAAAUUCUUCUGCCUGCCUUUUUAUUUCAGGAGCUAGGAAACAAUUUUCAAAUUUGAAUCUUUCAAGGGUUAAAGAGAACAUGGAAAGCCUGUGGCAUGGAUGUGCUUUGAAAUGGAGAACGUAUCCCCACGUUACUGGUGCAGAAAGUAAAACAUGGCUGAAAGCCACAGAGUAAUUCUAUUAGUUACCAGAAAAAAAUGCUCCUUGGAGGAGACAUAAUGAACCCGUAAAGCUGAAAGGUGGCCCCUUAUAAGUGUUGUUUCACACUCACAGGAACAGUCCUGUGGACUGCUGGCAGUGAGCCUCUUGUCAACACAGUAGGGUGGAGACUCUGCAUUUCCUUCUAACUCAGAGCUGCUUCAUCACAUCCUUAGGGACUAUCCAUGGCUUGAUUGUGCUCAGAAGCUUUGUUCUGUAAUCUGGUCUUUUUUCUUUCACUGAAAUAGGUGUAACUCAAUGCAAAGCUAGGGCAUUAUCCCAGCUAGCUUUUAAACACGUUCAUGUGAGAGGUUAUUCAUAUAAUUCUCUUGGCAUGUUAAGUGCACAGACUGUAUGUCUGUUUACUGUAGUUCCCAGGAGUACUUCUCAGCUUCUCUGUUUGGAUACACGCUACUGCAGAAACCCACCUCAGUAGGGUUGGGGCAAUCAUCCCCACCAUUUGACAGAAUUUGACUGGGCCCAGUCCUUCAAAGGGCGUGAUCUGGUCCCCAUCUGUGGCUGAAAUUGUCCAAUGAAAGGUGAUAGUUUACUUUUUCAGCAGGGUCAGUAACAAUAUCUUUAAAAUAAAAGACAGAAUGCAGUAAAAGAAAUAAGACUCAAGUCUGUCCCAACACUGUUACUAAGUAGGAAGGCAAAAGAGUUGUUAUAGCAACAGAUGGAGGUAUUUUAUAACAAGUGCAAGCACCUGAACCUUGGAGAGCUAAUGUAACUGUUAACUGUGAGAAGGACUAAACGGUACCUUUCAGGCUUUUGUCUGCCUGAUGUGCUUACAUUUCAAGCUGACCAAAGCUCAGUGCUGUAUCACUAUAGUUGUGGUCCCAGCUUUGUUGAGGAGCCAGGCGUCUAUCAGCCCAGCCCAGGACUGCUUUAAUCAGGCCACAUGGUUCUUGGAGUUUUUCACACAUUUGGAUCACACGUGGACCAAGCCUGCAUCUGCCCACGAGGCACUGUGCAGGCGUACUGUGACUGAGUUUUCUUUUGGAAAAUAGUUCCCUGUAGUCUUGCUGUCAGUAGCAGAUCUCUAAAGAUCAGACUGCUCUGAAGCAGAGUGGCAGCUGUUAUUUGUCUCCAUGCCAUCUCUCUCCCCGAGCUCAGGGCAAGCUUAACC